GGAUUCCCUCAGUAACGGCGAGUGAAGAGGGAAAAGCCCAGCACCGAAGCCUGUGGCCGUUUGGCCCCUAGGCAAUGUGGUGUUCAGGUUGGCUCGCGGGGAUACUGCUCCAUCCUAAGUCCUACAAUGAGUAAGGUUACUCGGACAUGGCCCAUUGAGGGUGAUAGGCCCGUGGGGGUGGAGAUUCAGACUGGCCAGUAUCUCUCUGAGCCGACCUUGGAGUCGGGUUGUUUGUGAAUGCAGCCCAAAGUGGGUGGUAAACUCCAUCCAAGGCUAAAUACUUACACGAGUCCGAUAGCGAACAAGUACCGUGAGGGAAAGUUGAAAAGUACUUUGAAGAGAGAGUAAACAGUGCGUGAAGCCGUUCAGAGGUAAACGGGUGGAGUUGAACUGCAAGCUCUGAGGAUUCAACUGGUGAGAUUGGCGUGAUCUUGGUCACGUGGGUGUUGCCGUGUCUGAUCAGCUUCAGGUCCUCGCUUCGGUGGGGAUGCGCGUAUGGCUUAGCAAGCUUUGUGCGCACGGGAAUUUCAUUCUGCCCACUUGCCAGUGCACUUUCUCAGAGUGUUCACCACGACCGGCGUUGCUGUCUGGCUGAUGUGGUUAAACCGGUCUUGUAGGGUCCUUGUGGCCUUGCUUGGUCGGGAUGGCAGGUAGCCCGUUGUGUACUUGUAUGCUUCGGGUGUAAUAGCCGACUGCAUUGGUUCUGUGCGGUACGUCGGAGACGGCGGCUAGUUGUGCGUGCGGGCGUGCCUGUGUGCUGGCGGCUCUGGGUCCGGUUGCCUCGUUAGCUUGUUAAAUCAGGCCGGGUGAUGGCUCGGGGUCGUUCGGUGUGCGGGUGCGUUCGUGGUGCUUGACAGGGCCAACAGUCUGUGGUGUAGUGGUAGACUAUCCACCCGACCCGUCUUGAAACACGGACCAAGGAGAGUAACAUGUACGCGAGUCAUUGGGCGUUACGAAACCCAAAGGCGCAGUGAAAGUGAAGGUUCGGCUUGUCCGGGCUGAGGUGAGAUCCUGCCGUUUCUCACGCAUGGUACUACCAAGUAUUGAGCGGCGGGCGCAUCACCGGCCCGUCCCAUGGCGUAGUGGUGGCUUCGGCUGCUCAUCGUCGGGGCGGAGCAUGAGCGUACACGUUGAGACCCGAAAGAUGGUGAACUAUGCUUGCGCAGGUUGAAGCCAGAGGAAACUCUGGUGGAGGACCGCAGCGAUUCUGACGUGCAAAUCGAUCGUCAAACGUGAGUAUAGGGGCGAAAGACUAAUCGAACCAU
rnacentral:rRNA from 1 species